AUGACCCAGAAGCAUAUUAAAUGGGGUAGUUGAGUUUUUAGAGUAAUGUCAGCUGAAACUCAUCCAUUUUACUAUGUUAUGAUCAAUACAAAUGAAAAUUUAAACGAUUUGGCACAUUGCCAGGAGCAGGGACACAAAGGCGGGGUAUUUCAUACAUGAAUUUACGUGGUUUUCAUUCGCUUCUAUCUUGCAAGACCCAUUCCGGAUUUGUUUGCAACUUAUAUCGGUUUUAACUAUGGGGUAUGUUUUAUAUCAAAACAAAAUAUUAAGCUUGGCAAAUGACUAUUAUAUGUUAAUUUAUGCCUUGGAAGAAUGGUGAUUUUAGUCCCAAAUUGACACAUUUUGAUUUUGAUUUUAAUUAAAUUCUAAACAUAAUUGUACUAAAAUGGCUCAUAAAAUCAUUCGAACAAGUAAAAUCAAUUUGUCUGAAAAAUGAAAUAAGACGUAUUUGUACUGCAAGUCCAAAAAUCAAUAAAUUGUCUGAAACCAGGGAGUCCAUCUUUUAUGCUCUUCCAUUGACUUAUCUCCCUUGGGUAAGAUCUCAAACAUGUCAGCUCCCAGUGAUGGUUUGGCAGACAAAUGUUUACAUUGAAGUUUGUGACUUUAAUAAUCUAGGAUGAGCAUGUGGGCUAUCCCAGCCUUAUACAUCUACAUAUUACAAACUAUUUAAGAUAUCUGAAUGCACUAAAGACCAAAAUAGCAUUUCCAAAAAAAAUAAUUACUGCCAAGAUUCAAGAAAUUUGACAAUCAUGACAAUAAUUUAGUGAAUAAACAUGAUAAAUAUUGAUUGGAAAAAUAAGUCCAUGAACAGCAAAAAGUGUUUUUAGAUUUCAACGAGCAAAACAAAAGUAUUCUAAAUCAUUCUUCGUAAAAAAAAAAGUGAGCCAGUGGAACCUGGUGACCUUGCUCGCACCAAAAUUGAGAUUGAGAGUGUCAAAACUGCUCUGGCGCACCAUCAAUAAAUCAAUGACACUCUCUCUACCGUGGUAUUGAAACCAGCAUUGGUAACCAAACAUAUUCAUACAGAUACAGACUACCAUUCAUCUACAUUUAGGAAGUCUGAAUAAUACUGAAAACUAUGGUGUAGAAUUUCCAACAGGACUCCUUAUUUUAUAUAAGACAAGGAGUGGUUUAUUUUCCCAUGGUUGUUACAUCAUCUUGUCUUUGAAUAUGCUCGAAGUACAGGUACUUUUAUGGAAUUCAUUGACAUGAUAGUCAAGCAAGAUGUCAACAUCUCGUCCAACCCUCUUCCAGCAAAGCCAAAGCUGACCAAGGAUCUUCACCCUUUCAAAACAGGCUGUAUACAGGACGAGUUAUUCCAGUAGGAACAGGGCUAUAUAUAUGCAAGCAAUGCUCAAUUAAGAUGAAUUUUUGUAAAAGUGACAAUAGCCAGGUCAAACUAAAUACAUGUAUAGAAGGAGAUAUUGAUCUAGACUCGCAGCUAACCUUUCUGUCAGUGUCAACAACAACUGAACUUUCACAGCAGUCAACAUCAGAUUGGGAGACUGAUAAUGCUUCUAACAGAAACAAUUUCAACCAACCAAACAAGCAACAGAAACUUUCCAACUUUAAAACAUCAGUUAAAUCUUCCAUGGGAUGAUGUCUCAAAAAAUAACAGUUCAUCAUUUAUGGAGAUUUUAAUGUUAUGGUUUUUCUUUUACAAGAAAGUUAAUGUACACUUGUUUUAUAGUAAAACCUAUAGCCGUUCAAGUAUAAAAAAAACACAUUCAACUUUAUUGAAAUUUGAAGAUUCAUAUGACUUAUUUUAAUUCUGUUAUCUCCGAGAAUGUGAUGUAGAGCAUUAUAGGUACAGUAAUCUUAACAGCUAUCCAAUUUCAUUCAAAAUUCUUUAUAAAUUUUGCACUGGUAUAUAUAGACUAAGUAAUUUGUUUUUCGUCUAGUAAUGGGAUUUUUUUAUACCCCACGCAACGAGUUGUGGAGGGUAUAAUGUUUUUGACCCGUCCGCCCGUCUGUCCGUCCGUCCGUCAGUCCGUCAGUCCUGUUUCUUGUCAUCGCAACUCCUCUCAAACCACACAACAGAAUUUCAUGAAACCUUUUCAGAUAAUAAGGACAUACUACGUAGAUGUGCAUAUCGACAGGAAAUUACGAUUUGAUUUUUUUUCCAGGAGUUACGCCCCUUUGAACUUAUUUGCCCAAUAUACUACUGCAACCUUUUGUCAUCGCAACUCCUCUCAAACCACACAACAGAAUUUCAUGAAACUGUGUAGAUAAUAAGGACAUACUACGUCGAUGUGCAUAUUGACAGGAAAUGAUUCAUUUUUUUUUCUGAUACAAUUUUUUUUUCUUACACUUAUUUUAUUUCUCCAAUGACAAUGUGGGGACGUGGGGUAUGUGAGCGCACUCACUAAGGUUCUUUCAUUUUAGAAGCAUUUAUGAUUUUCAUGUUUGUAUUGACCACAUUGCAGCAACAUAGAUAUAGGUACCUGGCAAAUCUUGCCUUGUUAGCAUACUAGGCUCAAAGGGUCAUAAAAAAAUUUCCAUCACUUAAAGUGUCUGUUAAAAUCAUCUGUUUACAGAUUUCACUUUUAAACCAUCAUCUUAAUAACUUUAGAAGAAGUGUCAUACAUAUAUAUAUGUAUACAAAAUUUAAAAACUUUUUAAUAUAUAUAUAUAUAUAACCUAUGUCGUGUUUAACACAUAUUUAGAAUUGUGCAAGCGUCUUACCUGAUGUUCGGUUUGACUUUUUUAUUGUAUAAAUUUCAAGAUUGUUAUAGUUUUAUUUAAGUAGACUGAUAUAUGAUUCAUUCAACAUCACAAUCAUACUACUGAUGAAGGAUAUCUGUUAUCCGAAAUAUUUAUAAAUAAUUACAUUUAUAGUUCCUUUUUUUGUUAUUGGUGUUGUUGUGUACACUUUUUAGGCGUUUAUAUAAUUUAUUUAUUGUGUACAUGUAUCGUUACUCGUAACGAUCCAGUGCCCUCGUGGGAAAAAUCGUUGACUAUUAUUCAGACGUUUUAUAUAUAUAUAUAUAUUGAUAAAAACUAUCAACAUGACAAGAUCUAAAUACCCAAAAUUUUUUUGAAAAAUUGGACAUAACAUCUAUGAGCUAUUGUCCCUGAAAUGUGUAAAUUUACAAAUUUUCACAGUUUUCUGCUACUAUCCAACAACUAUAUCAAUAUAUUAUAAGAAUAAAUUGCAAAAGUGGUCAGAAGAAACUUUUUUUUUACAGUCUGAACUUAUUCUGAAUUGUUUAACUUCUAAUUUAAAUUGAUUGCGUUUGAAAUAUGUGUUUUUUAUCAUUUUAGGUGCACAAUUUGUCAAUACGAUCUAUUUCGGCUCCUGGGAGCCUCUAGAUUUAUAAUGAAUAAUUUGUAUUUAUGUAUGAUUAUUUUCUUAAUGUAUUAAAUGAAACAUUAAUUAUUCUU